CAGUAGCCGCGGGAAAAACGAGGGGGGCAAGCGUUGUUCGGAAUUAUUGGGCGUAAAGGGUGCGUAGGCGGAUUUUUAAGUCAGGGGUGAAAUCCCGAGGCUCAACCUCGGAACUGCCUUUGAUACUGGAGAUCUUGAGUUCGGAAGAGGUUGGUGGAACAGCUAGUGUAGAGGUGAAAUUCGUAGAUAUUAGCUAGAACACCAGUGGCGAAGGCGGCCAACUGGUCCGAUACUGACGCUGAGGUGCGAAAGCGCGGGGAGCAAACAGGAUUAGAUACCCCAGUAGUCCCUGUCUCUUAUA
rnacentral:rRNA from 1 species